rnacentral:rRNA from 1 species
ACUUGUUCUUUAAAUGAGGACUAGUAUGAAUGGCACCACGAAAGUUAUACUGUCUCCUUUCUUUAAUCAGUGAAACUAAUCUCUCCGUGAAGAAGCGGGGAUAUAAUUAUAAGACGAGAAGACCCUAUGGAGCUUUAAACGUGAGUAACAAUUGCCCGCCAUAAUAUUUUUACCCGGAAACUAACCGCGAUACUUAGGCAUCUUGAUUACAAGUUUUAGGUUGGGGUGACCGCGGAGCAGAAAAUAACCUCCGCAGUGAAUGGAACUUACUUCCUAAACCCAGGGCUACGACCCUAAGCAUCAAUAAAUUGACACUAAUUGACCCAAUAUUUUUGAUCAAUGAACCAAGUUACCCUAGGGAUAACAGCGCAAUCCACUUCAAGAGCCCCUAUCGACAAGUGG